GGGGGAGGGGCAGGCGUUGGCCCCGCCCGAGCGAGGCCGCCAGGCCGCAGGCCAGACCCCCGGGUCCUGGUUCCAGUCCGUGGCUAGUUAUGAUGAACAGGUCAUCUCAGUAUUCUGGAACCAUGCAGGAGCCAUGCCUUCAGGUGGAGGAUCUCUAGAUUUGGGUGGUGAGUCUGGCCUGCAUCCUGAGACAGGGGAUGUGAAACAGGGUGAAGAAUGACUGGUGGGUAUACUGUCAUCUGUAGGAGGCGUGUAGCUACGUAAAGACUGAAUCCUUUAAGGAAUGAAGGGAUCCAUCCAUCUUGUCCAUGGUUUCGAUUCUUCAAAGGGAAGAUCUUCAGCCAUAGAUUGUAUCUCUUCAGGAAAUCCUGAGAAGUGAAGCCAUGACAGCCUUCACAUAACUACAACUGGAGACAUCUAUUGGGAAGCUCUGUCGGCUGUGUCUAAGGAAGCUUGUAAGGCCAUCCUAGCCAGAAGGUGGGUGGUACUAUGGCAGAUGUCUGCUAGACAGCCUUAACUGGGUCCAUCAGAGCCUCAUUUAUGGGGAGUGCAAUUUUUGAUGAGGUUGAUGUUUGGAGUAUAUCCAGUAACUUAUGUUGAGACUCUAUAACUUCUUCCAAAGAUAUGUGUAGUGAGUCUGCAAUUCUCUCAAAUAGUUCUUGGAAUUAAUUAAAAUCAUUGGCUGUUGGUGGAGAAGGCAUGAUAGUAUUUCUCCCGGACAAGGCUGAUUGGUCGGAUGGCUUCCUGAUCGAUCCUCUCCCCCUGGUCCUCAAAAGUCUUCUCCUGAGGUUGCCUGUAUGUAACCCAUGGAUCCCAAUAAGGCCAUUGUUGUCAGAAUGGCAUGUGUGGCAUCCAUGUAUGUCUGUACCAUCUAUGUACAUAACCCUCAGGCUGAAAUCUGGUCUUUACCAAUGGGUCUGGUCUAGCAGUUGUCUGAGGUGGGAAGAGGAGUAUUGAUGAGAAAGAAGUAAAUGUCCUUUUCCUCAUCAUCGUCCUCCUCACUAGAUAAGGGAGAAGAUCUGGAUGGUGGUAUUGAAUGUGACAGUGCCGAGCUCACUGGGGAUGCGAUGUGUACCAGAGCAAUAUCGGUACCGAGGAGAUUCGGGUAUUUCAGAUACCAAUAAGUUGUAGCCUUUUAUUUUAUUUUAUUUCAAGUGAAUUUUGUAAUGUGGUAUUACACCACCCUGGAUUCUGCUCUGGUGGCUACAGUUUCAAGCUCAGAGUGAAAGUCACCUCUGCUACUUGUUUUGGACUUUAAGUCUCUAGGAACACAUAAAGACCAAGGAUAGUGACACUCAUACAUUUACAAGUACAAGGUUUAGUCUGUGUUUCAAGUUUUAUUAAAGUUAUGAUUAUCCAAGCAUAUAGAAAUCCUAUAAAGACCUAUGCACAAGUUACAAAUAUACAUCCUUAACGAUAUUCUUAAGCUCUGGUGGCUGCCUUGCCAAUUGAUUAUCAGUAGAAGGAUGGUUCCUGCUAGAGUUUUCCCAUAAGGAACUCAACUUUCCCAAUUUGGGCACCCUCUUUUUAUAAUGUGAUUCUGACUAUAUCUCAUUAGCAUUUAUGGAUAUAGUGCACCCUGCAAUUAGGGCACGUGUUAGAAAAAUG